GGCGAACGGGUGAGUAACACGUGGGUGAUCUGCCCUGCACUUCGGGAUAAGCCUGGGAAACUGGGUCUAAUACCGGAUAGGACCACAUUUUGGAUGGUGUGGUGGAAAGUUUUUCGGUGUGGGAUGAGCUCGCGGCCUAUCAGCUUGUUGGUGGGGUAAUGGCCUACCAAGGCGUCGACGGGUAGCCGGCCUGAGAGGGUGUACGGCCACAUUGGGACUGAGAUACGGCCCAG
rnacentral:rRNA from 1 species